rnacentral:rRNA from 1 species
GAUGAACGCUGGCGGCGUGCCUAAUACAUGCAAGUCGAGCGAACAGAUGAGGAGCUUGCUCCCCUGACGUUAGCGGCGGACGGGUGAGUAACACGUGGAUAACCUACCUAUAAGACUGGGAUAACUUCGGGAAACCGGAGCUAAUACCGGAUAAUAUAUUGAACCGCAUGGUUCAAUAGUGAAAGACGGUUUUGCUGUCACUUAUAGAUGGAUCCGCGCCGCAUUAGCUAGUUGGUAAGGUAACGGCUUACCAAGGCAACGAUGCGUAGCCGACCUGAGAGGGUGAUCGGCCACACUGGAACUGAGACACGGUCCAGACUCCUACGGGAGGCAGCAGUAGGGAAUCUUCCGCAAAGGGCGAAAGCCUGACGGAGCAACGCCGCGUGAGUGAUGAAGGUCUUCGGAUCGUAAAACUCUGUUAUUAGGGAAGAACAAAUGUGUAAGUAACUAUGCACGUCUUGACGGUACCUAAUCAGAAAGCCACGGCUAACUACGUG